rnacentral:rRNA from 1 species
UACGUAGGGCGCAAGCGUUGUCCGGAAUUAUUGGGCGUAAAGAGCUCGUAGGCGGCUUGUCACGUCGGAUGUGAAAGCCCGAGGCUUAACCUCGGGUCUGCAUUCGAUACGGGCUAGCUAGAGUGUGGUAGGGGAGAUCGGAAUUCCUGGUGUAGCGGUGAAAUGCGCAGAUAUCAGGAGGAACACCGGUGGCGAAGGCGGAUCUCUGGGCCAUUACUGACGCUGAGGAGCGAAAGCGUGGGGAGCGAACAGGAUUAGAAACCCGUGUAGU